AUGCUUCUACAAUCUGGGCAAGCAAGCACCCUCGACACAUCGGGCAGGAUCAUGGACUUCUCAUGGUACACCUUCACAACAGGAGCUCCCGCCCCGGUGCCGAGCCCUGCCAUGGUGGCCAGAGCUCUCUCUCCUCUGGUUGAAGAAGUGAAGCCGGAGCUGUAUGCAAGGUAUCCAACAUGUCUUUCUUCUGGUCUGGCUGCACGUGAAGCUUCUGUUGGGAGCUCAAGAGCUCCUGUAGAUUCUGAGUGGGCACUCUUUGUACCUGUCGAGGAUUUCAUAUAUUGUAACCAGCAUCAUAUGUGGCGGGGUUACUUCAGGAAAUAA
rnacentral:rRNA from 1 species